ACCUCGACACCUACGGGAGACAGCAGUGGGGAAUAUUGCACAAUGGGGGAAACCCUGAUGCAGCGACGCCGCGUGGAGGAAGAAGGUCUUCGGAUUGUAAACUCCUGUUGUUGGGGAAAAAGAGGAUGGUACCCAACAAGGAAGUGACGGCUAACUACGUGCCCGCAGCCGCGGUAAUCUGAGGCGGGCGUGGACGAAGGC
rnacentral:rRNA from 1 species